rnacentral:rRNA from 1 species
CUACGGGGCGCACCAGUGGGGAAUAUUGCACAAUGGGCGCAAGCCUGAUGCAGCCAUGCCGCGUGUAUGAAGAAGGCCUUCGGGUUGUAAAGUACUUUCAGCGGGGAGGAAGGGAGUAAAGUUAAUACCUUUGCUCAUUGACGUUACCCGCAGAAGAAGCACCGGCUAACUCCGUGGCCAGCAGCCGCGGUAAUACGGAGGGUGCAAGCGUUAAUCGGAAUUACUGGGCGUAAAGCGCACGCAGGCGGUUUGUUAAGUCAGAUGUGAAAUCCCCGGGCUCAACCUGGGAACUGCAUCUGAUACUGGCAAGCUUGAGUCUCGUAGAGGGGGGUAGAAUUCCAGGUGUAGCGGUGACAUGCGUAGAGAUCUGGAGGAAUACCGGUGGCGAAGGCGGCCCCCUGGACGAAGACUGACGCUCAGGUGCGAAAGCGUGGGGAGCAAACAGGAUUAGAUACCCUUGUAGUC